rnacentral:piRNA from 1 species
UCUUUGCGGUAUUACGUUAGAGGUGGA